AGGCCCAAACCCCGUUCAUGUGUCUUCUGUUGAGCUGAGUCAUGACCGGCCAAGGCCACGGGUUCCUGUUUUCGGGGCUGAGCCAGGCCCCAACCUGCAAACCCACAUCUAGGAAAUGCCACCCAGUGGGCCGCCCAGAACCGAGGGCUCUGCCCUUGGCAGCAGGUCAACCUGUUUCCGUGGCUCCUCCUGGCCCUGGCAUCAGUGGACUUUUUCUAGACGCAUCCCUCCUGGCUCAAGUGUCCUCCUCAGCCGCCCACUGCCCUCGUCUAAAACGGGAGACCCUUUGCAACACGGUACCAGGAGAAGCUAUGUUCUAGGCACAGAGCAGUUGGCGCUCACCAGGUAUUCGCCAGAUGGAAAUGAGCCGUACCUGAGAAAUCUGGGGAUCCAGGUGAAGUCUGUCUGUGGUCCCUCGUACUACCUGUGUCAUCUAUACCCUACUGCAACGCCACGUUAAGACGUGUUCAUGCAAAUCAGGAAACGUACCAGAUUAACCCUGUCUCCUCCCGUGACACCGUCACCGGCUGAUGAUAUCAAAUGAACCAGAAACAUCCAAGGGAAGCCACGGUUCUAGAAAGGGCAUUGCUGCUGGAUUUUACUAUAAUACACCCAAUUCUGCAUGCUUUCUGGAACUGCCUUCCAGAAGCCCCGCUACCCCCACACAAUGCUCAACCCGAAAUAGGUGCUCAAGAAACAUCACUCGCUGGCGGGCAGAAGACAAGCAAACGCUACUCUCAGACGGUGAAAAGGUUCCACUGCCUUCCAUGCCGUUUUCUCCCAGAAAAACUCCUAACGCUCCCAGGCAGUCCAAAUCCUAAUUCAAAAGGGGCAGCACUGGGCUAGAUUCUGUGUCAGCCCCUCCCCCUCCGCGCAGCCUCUGGGAAGUUCCCUGACGUCCCGGAGACACAGCCGCUCACGUCCGCAGCCGAGGUGCCACUGCCGGUACCCGCACUCCCCCCGGGUGCGGUGAGGGCUCGGAGACACGGUGCCCGGGGCCCCACGGACCUCUAGUUCCGGACGACAGAACAGCAAAAGCGCUGUGGCGAAGAAUGGCGCGCACGUCCCCACUCUUGCGGGUGACGGGUCUGGAGAGCCACACCUGCUGGCCGCUCGGGGCCACACCGCACAUCCCGGUCAGCACGAAUCCCAGGGGCCGGUCUGACGCGGCUCCCUGACAUGCUCGCUCUGGCCUAGGGCGACAGACUCCACGCUUUCCGGUUUCAGAUUAUCGGAAAGAAGGCACCGGUUGCAUCCAGGGCCCGGGGUCCACUCGCGGGGUCGGACUAGAAUGGUAAGUGGCUCCCGGGCUGGCAGCUGCUUGCAGGGAAGCGGGGGGAGGGGCCCGGAGGAGCUCGGACGGGGCUCGUCCACGCAGCACAAGAACUCAGGCUCUUCGGCGUCUUUGAAUUCUGCGUGGGGACCCCCUCUCUCCACUUUGCAAAACGAGAGAGAAGGUGGAGGAAAGAAAGAAUGAAGAGAAGCGAAGACCAGUUCUCUGGCGAUCUUCUGGGAGUGUCAGCGCCCUCCUGACGUGAAGGAGAGGCGCGACACAUACACCUGUCCACGCGGGCUCGAGCCCCAGAGCCGCCAACCUGCUCCGGGCAGCAGGGGCUACUUGGGCUCAGCACUGUAGGUGGGGGAAGGGCACGCGAAAAGCUUUAGCGAAUAAGUUUAUCAGAGCCAGAGGAUCCCACAGGCAAGUGGAGGCAGGAGACCUGAGGGGAAACAGGACAGAGGGGCCCCACAGGGCGGGAGGGCUGGAGGGGCACCGAGGUGGACCCCAGCCAGCUCUGGCUGCCGACCUUUGGACCCUCAGUCUUCUGCCCCCAGCAUGAGGCCAAACUCAAGAGCCUGGGGUUGGGUUGCUUUUCAAGCGAAAUCCUAAAAGCACGGGCCUCCUUCUGCUGCCCACGGGAGAAAGGGGGGAGGUGUGGGAGGGCCUUCAAGGAGCGUCCAACCCAGGCGAGAAGUCAGACAAUGACAGGAAAACAGACACGCGCACCCUCGCGGCGGACAGGGAGGAGGCAGAGAACUCUCCAGAACGGCAUCUCCCACACCCCAGGCGAUGGGCAUCUCCAGAGCUCUGGGAUGGAGACCACUCUAAGCAGAGGACGGGUCCCUCUCAGUCCCAGGCCGCUGAAAGACCAGGGCUGGGGGAAAGCAGAAAAGAAUCUUGAGAGGAAAUUAAAAUCCAGGCAUGGACACACGUUUGCUGGGCCCAGGGUCCGGCCCUGGGGUGGGUGAUCGGCCCACGGCCUGCCCACCCCCCACCAGCGAGGGGUUCUGCUCCGCUGGCCCGCCCUCCGCCCCGCCGUAGGCACCAGAGGCAGCGGCGGGAACACGAGGCUUUAUAAAGAUCCUUGUUCUAACUGCUUUGUGCUAAAACAUGAUGGCCUCUCCCCAA